rnacentral:sRNA from 1 species
AAAGUGGUGUCAGAAGUGAUUUAGAGAGGUUCAUGAUAUUUUAUUUGAAACUGCUGGUGCUUAAAAUGUUUGAGGAAAUCAAGUUUUUAGUGUGGAUUAGAAUAUUCAUCAGAAAAUCACUCAAGGUAAUUUCUAAAUUACAUGUCAAAGAGAGGCAAAAUGUGUUUGGAGUAGAUGACAAUCAGGAUUAUAAUAGGCCUGUUAUCAAUGAAAAACAUAAAGAUCUAAUAAAAGAUUGGGCUCUCAGUUCUGCUGCAGCAGUAAUGGAAGAAAGAAAACCACUGACUACAUCUGGAUUUCACCACUCAGAGGAAGGCACAUCUUCAUCUGGAAGCAAACGUUGGGUUUCACAGUGGGCUAGUUUGGCUGCCAAUCAUACAAGGCAUGAUCAAGAAGAAAGGAUAGUGGAAUUUUCUGCAUCUCUUCCUUUAGAGAAUGAGACAGAGCUCAGUGAGUCUGGCAUGACAGUGAGAAGUACUGGCUCUGCAACCUCCUUGGCUAGCCAGGGGGAGAGAAGGAGACGAACUCUUCCCCAGCUUCCAAAUGAAGAAAAGUCUCUUGAGAGC